rnacentral:lncRNA from 1 species
AUGGAUGUAUUCUUUUGUUUUUUUAAUAAACUAAAAGCGUUUUGUUCAUUAAUUUGGUUUUGUUCAUUUAUUUGGGUUUGUUUAUUUAUUUGGGUUUGUUCAUUUAUUUGGGUUUGUUCAUUUAUUUGGGNNNNNNNNNNAUUUAUUUGGGUUUGUUCAUUUAUUUGGGUUUGUUCAUUUAUUUGGUUUUGUUUAUUUACAUACUUGUUGAGUAGCCAACCGGCAAAGCUUUUAUCAGUUGUAUUUGGGUAGAUAACAUUGUUUCCGAUAUUAUUGUUAAUUAUGUUGUUAUAGCUAGUUACGUUGUUAUAUUUAAGUUCACUAUUGUAAUUGGUUGCGUUGCUUGUGCUAGCAUAAUUGUUAAUAGUAGAGACGGGAGUAACCCCAUCUAACCCACUACUAAAAUUUUUUUGCAUUUUUUUUUUCAUUUGAAAAAAAGGAACUACAUUAUUAUUAUCACUCCUAGUAGUUAUAGUAGUGUAAUUACUAUGGUUUGUACUUAAGUCGCUAACAUACUGAUGAACAUUUUUUUUAAUAAAUUCCUUAUCAGAUGUUAUAUCCUCA